CUGCCCUGCGGACCGGAAGCGCCUCCCCGCCACAGUCGCCAUGGGGACGCGUCCCGGGCGCGGCGGCGGCGGCGCCGAGGCCCGCGGGGGAGCGCACGGGAACAGGGGGCCCGCGCCGACGGCCCCCGGGCCGGACUCCCGGUCCUCGUCGCGCCGCUCCGCCGCGUCCCGGUCGGCCCUGCGGACCCCAGCGGUCCCGCCACGGCUCGCGGACCGCCCGCCGUCCCUAACCGGACACGGAUUUGAACGAGAAACUGACGGCCUGCUCGAACGAUAGUGAUUCGAGGGCCGCCUGUUUCCAGGGGGGCUAACCAGGAAGGUGUGGCGGGUUUGGGGAAACCGCCGUAACACCGAGGAGGCUGCAAGGAAAGGAGCGGCGGGGAGGUUCCCGCGCCCUGGAAGGGGAGUCGUUAGGGCCGCGGUCACCUGGGGUUGGGGGCAUCGCCAGCCCGAGGGGAGGAGCAGGAGAAGCUCCCAGCAUACACACCCGGCCUGUCUGGCCUCUCGCCCUGUGGCCUGAUUUUGCCUCCCGUCGGCCGAGCCCAUUGCUGCAGCUGGAGAGAGGGAGGGCUGGAGGGACAGACUUGCAGCCCGGGGUGGUUCCGGAUGGCUGCAAAGCCGUGUGCAUAGUGGGAGCCCAAGCGUGUGACCCUGUGACCGUGGAAAGGUGUUGCCUAUAAGUGGAAUCGUGUAAGAUGUGACCUUUGGGGGUGGGCGACUUCUGCUGAGCAUUGUGUUUCUGAGGCUCCUCUGUGUUGUCCCGUGAAUCAGGACCCCCCACUCCUUUCUGUGCUGAAUAGUGUUCCCUUCGAUGGAUAUGCCGCACUGUCCAUUCACAUGUGGGCGCUGGAAUCACUCUAAGCUGUAACAAUGCCAAAUAAAGCUGCGAGUCACGCACA